rnacentral:lncRNA from 1 species
AGGCAUUCUUUGGAAUGCACUCCAAGGGCUAGGACUAUUGCUCUCAUUGCAUUACAAGGAAGUGUACCUAUGAAUCAGGGCAAGAAAGAUUAGAACCACUUUCCAUAAAAGCCUCAGCCUCAAAGAAUCUGAAAGAUUUAACUAGCAGUCUAGAUGCCUUCCUUCUGACAAAGGCCUUUGAAAUCACAUCACAUGUGGAACCAUCUCCAUCACUGAUUUGUAAAGUCAACUGUGGUCCUUGCCCUGCUAUACUAUCAUUAUUAUCAUUCAAGCCCAUCUGACAUUUUCUUCAUUAUUGUGCAUUUAUUGAGUGCCAGUGGGAUGCUACACCAAAGAAGCUGCUAAAAGUUGUCUCUGGGUCUCUCAGACCACCACUGAUGGGGUGUUGAUAAGUGGAAGUAGUUACCUCAGGUCGACUGUUCCUGCAGCCAGGCUGGAAGCAGUCACUUCAAUGGAAAGCUCCGUGGUCCCUGCCAGCUCCUCUGGUCCACAGAUGUCUCAGGAUGUAGCCCCACCCUUUGUUGGUUGCAGCCAUGGAAUUUGCAAAUGAUCAGCGCACCAGAGUUGUAACCGACCUUACGUUGUACUUCCACAAAGAAUCUGAGGCUCGUUUGAUGAAAAUGUUGAGAUUCGCUGAAUUGAUAAAUGUCAACUAAGUGGAGAAAGUAACUGAGUGGUUUCCACAUUGAUCUGUCAUCAAUGGAGCUGUAGAUCAGAUGGCAACGUGAUCAUUUUUAGCGCAGUUCUUGUCUUCCUCUGUUCAAAUGCACCAAACGAAGCGCCCAUUUGCUGACUAGAAAUUCACAGUUGAGGUCGACUGAUGAUGCAGUGCAAAGAAGCCUGUUCUGUUCCUCUGCUCGCAAGAACCAAAGAAAUCUGCAGACUCUGUGUAUUUACCCAGGGAUCGCUUUCCUGAGGGUGAACUGUAACCAGCUUCUUUGCAGAAUGGAGCCAUCAUCGGGUGCCAGUAGCACUACAGUACAACGUUUAAAGGGGGAAAUGAAGGCUAGCUCCUCCGAAGGAAACUACAGGGGAAUUUUAGAGCAGCAGAAUGCAAUUAUCCAAGUUGGAAUUGUUCCAGGACACCAAAAGAGAACUCUAAAGGUUAUGAGCUAUUCCCCAAAACAAAUAUGCCAGAAAACUGGGAGCCUGUCAGUAAUAUUACAAAUUAUCCCCAUAACCCCAUUUUGU